rnacentral:lncRNA from 1 species
GAGGGCGCUGUUGGCAGCCUGCGCUCCGAUCGACAGUGCCACCACGGGAAGCCGGUCACAUUUCUGGCAUCACGUCCUCCUCCUGGUGGGAUCUCUCAGCUUCACAACUGCAAACAAAUGCCCCAUGAUUUCAUAAAUUCCUAAUAGUGUUUGGGCCAGAUACAGUUAUCAGUUUAUAUGCAAUUUGGUGAUUUUACAUUACUUACUCUUGAAGGGGUGCCUGGGUGGCUCAGUCGGUUGAGUGUCCAACUGUGAUUUCGGCUCAGGUCAUGAUCUCAGGGUUCUGAGAUGGAGCCCAGUGUCAGGCUCUGUGCUCAGCGGGGAGUCCGCUUGAAAUCCUCCCACUCCAUCUCCCUCUGCCCCCCGCCCCCCAUGAGCUUUCUCAUGCUCUAUCUCAAACACAUAAAUAAAUCUUUUGAAAAAAAUGCUUACCCUUGAAGGCAAAAAUCGCCGUUCAGGUCUAUGUUAGGAUGACUCAGGACCCCUGGCUUUCCCCCUGGGAAGACCCUCACUCACCAGCAGCAGCCACCUCGGUUAUCCUUCCCUUGCUCCUCUCCCACAGUUGAGUUCGUGAGCACUUCACAAGCUUAACAUUGUCACAAAUGUCAGAGUUUGUAAGCCUUUCUCAAGCUUAACAUUCUCACAAAACCAAAUAUAAGUGUUCUCGGCCGAUGCAUAUCCCAUUCCAGAAAGGCCCGUGAGAGGCACCAAAUCAUCAGCUCCCCAGCGGCCCCUGCUGUUUCCCUGUAGCAGCAAGUCAUCUGCGCAUGUGCGUAGUCACGUGGUCCCGUCACUGCCAGUGGACUCCGGGACAGGAGGCUGUGUCAAGGCAGACUUCGUGACGGCCAAGGCAGAGCUUCCUGCUUCCCAAAGCCAAGCAACCGUUGUUCCGGAGGAAAAAGAACCCUCCUCAAGUAGCCAACAAGCAGCACUCUCUCCAUCUCUAGCCUCUAAGACCCGCUAAUGCUUGGAUUUGACUCAGCCUGAGUAAGUAGCUUUUUCAUACUAAUUUUUUAAAACCCUGUUGUGGCAAAGGAUUAAAUAAGCAAUUGUCUAGCUUUAAAUGCCUCAUGGGGGACUAAAAUAACACCUUUCCUGACAGUCUAGUUUUCAAACCCACUUCAUUUAAGGUAACAAAAUCUCUUUUCUACAAGGUUUUGACUGUGUGGAAUACAAGUGUUGUAGCCC